rnacentral:rRNA from 1 species
UGGUUAGAGAUGGGCAUGCGUUGUAUUAGCUAGUUGGUGGGGUAACGGCUCACCAAGGCGACGAUACAUAGGGGGACUGAGAGGUUAACCCCCCACACUGGUACUGAGACACGGACCAGACUCCUACGGGAGGCAGCAGUGAGGAAUAUUGGUCAAUGGACGCAAGUCUGAACCAGCCAUGCCGCGUGCAGGAUGACGGCUCUAUGAGUUGUAAACUGCUUUUGUACGAGGGUAAACGCAGAUACGUGUAUCUGUCUGAAAGUAUCGUACGAAUAAGGAUCGGCUAACUCCGUGCCAGCAGCCGCGGUAAUACGGAGGAUUCAAGCGUUAUCCGGAUUUAUUGGGUUUAAAGGGUGCGUAGGCGGUUUGAUAAGUUAGAGGUGAAAUUUCGGGGCUCAACCCUGAACGUGCCUCUAAUACUGUUGAGCUAGAGAGUAGUUGCGGUAGGCGGAAUGUAUGGUGUAGCGGUGAAAUGCUUAGAGAUCAUACAGAACACCGAUUGCGAAGGCAGCUUACCAAACUAUAUCUGACGUUGAGGCACGAAAGCGUGGGGAGCAAACAGGAUUAGAUACCCUGGUAGUCCACGCAGUAAACGAUGAUAACUCGUUGUCGGCGAUACACAGUCGGUGACUAAGCGAAAGCGAUAAGUUAUCCACCUGGGGAGUACGUUCGCAAGAAUGAAACUCAAAGGAAUUGACGGGGGCCCGCACAAGCGGAGGAACAUGUGGUUUAAUUCGAUGAUACGCGAGGAACCUUACCCGGGCUUGAAAGUUAGCGACGAUUCUUGAAAGAGGAUUUCCCUUCGGGGCGCGAAACUAGGUGCUGCAUGGUUGUCGUCAGCUCGUGCCGUGAGGUGUCGGGUUAAGUCCCAUAACGAGCGCAACCCCUACCGUUAGUUGCCAUCAGGUGAAGCUGGGCACUCUGGCGGGACUGCCGGUGUAAGCCGAGAGGAAGGUGGGGAUGACGUCAAAUCAGCACGGCCCUUACGUCCGGGGCUACACA